UUUUAUGCAACUUUGGUGUACUUUUCCUCGCGUAGCAUUUGUAUUCUAGGACAGUGCUUGCCGUCGUCAUUGCGAGCUCAAAGGGGUUAAAUGGCUAACGCGUCGUGAGCAUUGCCACGAAACAAGAGGCGACUGUCAUUUUUAGAGACACAUUGGUUGUGAGCGCAUGCUUUAAGCGCAGGCAGAAGAAAUUAUCUCUACACUCCUCCAUAUCCUGCCACACCGAUAGGCCUUCAUCAUUGCGAGCUACAUCUCUGUUUGUGAGCUUAGGGUUCAUGGUAGAUGACACGAACAUGAGAUACCAGCGAUGGGAGCUUGAGCAUGACAAGCAGGAUCGCAUUCCAAUGCCCAACACGUUUUUACCUCGAGCGUUGCAAGACCCUUUCUCUCGGUGCGCGCCUCAACCCAUUGAGAAACACUGUAGCUCCGGAAACGCGGGUCUUUGCCAGCGUCCCAGUUUUGCUCGCCGCCCUCAAAGCAUGCAGCGUUUCCAGGGACCUCGAAAGUGGCAGACGAGUUCACCGGUUUUCUGGCCAAGUCGCGGACAUUUACGUCUCCAACACUCUGAUCGACAUGUACGCGAGGUGCGGAAGCAUGGUAGAUGCUCGCAACAUCUUCGACAGCAUGGAGUCUCCGGACUUGGUGUCUUGGAACGCUCUGAUCCGGGGCUAUGCCACCAACGGGGAAGGGAGAUUGGGUCUCGAGCUUUUCUCACGCAUGACUUGCGAACCGGACGCUCGCAGCUUUGUGGCAGCGCUCAUGGCCUGCUCGAGCCAGACAGCCAAGGAGAAUGGUGGCAGGCGAGAUAACACGGAGAAGACGCUUCGGUGCUUGCAAGAAGGAAGAGAGAUCCACGCUCGAGCUCGAAAGGCCGGUUCGGCAUCCAACGUUUUCGUGGCCAGCGCUCUCGUCGAUAUGUACGCGAAGUGUGGGAGCGUCACCGAGGCCCGGCUGGUUUUCGAUGGCCUGAAAGACCGGAACGUUGUCUCGUGGACGUCUUUGAUGCUGGGAUACGUGGACAACGGCGAGCCCGAGCAGGCUCUGGAUUUGUUUCAACGCAUGCAGCACCACUGCUCCGGGUGUCCGCCAAACUCUCGGACUUUCGUCGCGGCUCUCAUGGCCUGUGCCAGCCUUGGAGCAAAGUCGGACGUAAGAGAGCUCAAGCUGGAGUGGCUCAACCAGGGAGCUUUGAUUCACAGUCAGGCGGUGAAGCACGGGUUUGGAUCGGACGUGUUCGUGGCGAGCUCGCUGGUGGACAUGUACUCCAAGUGCGGGGGACUCUCCAGUGCCAUCGACGUCUUCGAGAGCACUCGGCACCGAGACGUGAUUCUCUGGAACGCGAUGAUACAGGGAUAUGUGGAGGCUGGGGACGAUGAGUCGGCUCUAGAGCUGUUUAGCAGGAUGGACACUAGCACGGGAGGGUGCAAGCCGGACGCUCGAACUUACGUUGCCGUUUUGAUGGCAUGCUCGAGCUUGGGAGCCGAAGAGGAAGCGGAUGGAAAGCUUGUCAAGUCCAGGAGCUUGAGCCGGGGUGUGGCUCUUCACCGUCAGGCUUGCAAGUAUGCGUUUGAGUCGGACAAGUUUGUGGCGAGCAGCUUGGUCGACAUGUACACGACUUGUGGGAGCCUGGCUGACGCUCGAGCAGUCUUUGACAAGAUCUUACAUCCGGACGUGGUGCUGUGGAACGCGCUGAUGCUGGGCUAUGUGCAAAACGGAGCGAGCGAGGAGGCUCUACGCCUGUUCUCUCGCUUGCAAGGACCAGACCCAAGAAGCUACGUCGCCGCUUUCAUGGCCUGCGCGAGCUUGGCGGAGAAGGAAGAAGGCCAAGAGGUGAGAGAAGAGUUUGUGAAGCUGAGACAGCUUGAGCAAGGCAUGGCGAUUCACGCCCAGGCUCGAGAAAGAGGAUGUGAUACCGAUAUGUUCGUGGCAAGCAGCCUGGUGGAGAUGUACUCCAAGUGUGGAAGUUUGGGUGACGCUCGGCUGGUUUUCGAUAGAAUGAAGCAUCACGACGUGGUACUUUGGACGGCACUCGUCUCGGGAUACGCGGAGAACGGUCACGUCGAGAUUGCUCUAGGGCUCGUCGAACUAAUCCAGUCCCGGGGCUGCGAGCCAAACUCUCGGACUUUCAUCGCUGCACUGGUCGCUUGCGGCAGCGUGCCAUCGCUAGAAGCUGGCAAAGAGCUCCACGCAAGGAUUUGCAGGCUGGGACUGGAAGCCGGGACGUACGUAGCAAGCUCUCUCGUGGAUCUCUACGGCAAGUGCGCUCGCCUCGACGAUGCUGAGCGCGUCUUUGAGUCACUGGCGAGCAGGAAGCUCGUGGUGACUUGGAGCUCGCUCAUGGCGAGCUACAGCCGGCAGGGAGACACGGUCAGAGUGCUGGAGCUGUUUGAGAGAAUGCUCGACGAAGGCUUGCGAGGUGAUCGUAUCACUUUCGUUUUGAUUCUUACGUCGUGUAGCCAUGCUGGCCUGGUUGACACAGGGAAGCGCUACUUUGGGGACAUGAAGCAAAAGUAUGGUGUCGAGCCGGACUUGGAACACUACCACUGCGUGGUCGAUUUGCUGGCGCGAGCAAACCAUCUGGACGAGGCACUGGAGUUUGUCAAGGGAAUGCCGGUGGAGGCCAACCUCGUGACUUGGAAGACAGUGCUGGCCGGGUGUAAGAAGUGGAACAACUUGGAGAUUGGACGCGCUGCUUUCCAGAGCGCUGUUGACUUGGAUCCCAGGCACGAAGCGAGCUACGUCUUGAUGGCCAACUUGUAUGGGAGCUUGGGAAUGUGGGAGGAGCAACUCAGGACGCUGGAGCUUAAGGAAGCCACGAAAGUGAUCAAGUCUAAAACGAUCCCAGCAAGUCUCCAAGGUUGCAUUUAGAAUGGAUCAAAGAACUUGCGUGGGAACUCGGGAAUGUGGGAGGAGCAACUUAGGACUCCAGAGCUCAAGGAAGCCACCAAAGUGAUCAAGUCCACGCCAGUUUCCAAGGUUGCCUCUAGAAUGGAGACAGCUACUAGAAAGAUACGAUUCCUGUUAUUUGCAUGCCGACCGUCGGAUGGGCUUCAUCCGACGGCGUAGGAUGCAGCAUUUGGACGUACUACUAGACCGGACGCCCGCUCUCUCAACGAGGUUUUUCCUUCUUCCAAGCCACGGGAAGCAAGAAGAGCGAGAGCGCAGCUAUGGAGUCGAGCGGCAGCGGCGAAGCUCAUCCAUCUGGUCAGAGCUUUUCUCGCUCUAUCUCUCUCCCUCUCUUUUCUUCGUUUCUGCUUAAAGUUUAUAUUUUUGUU